GUGGUCCCAGCUAAGUGGUCAUUGCAACAGAAUCACAAUCUGUUUCUCUUCGUCGUGCAGGUUCGAAACCUGCCGGAUGACA